UAGGUAGAUAGAUAGAGGAAGAUAUCAAAACAACAAGUUGUGUUUAAUUCGUAUAAUUAUAUAGGCGUAGCCUCUAGAGUUUCGUCGUAUCCAGAACCCUGUUUCUAAUCCAAACCCAGUUCCCGGGGAAAAGCAUGCAUGCAUGCAUAGAGACUUGAUCACAGUGUUGCUGUGCAUGCCAAUGCCAUUCGUCAUCAACCUGUGUCAUCAACCUUUUUCUUCGCUAUGAAGUAUUUGUUUUACUUCUUCUUCUUCUCUCUCUAGCUCUUUUCGCCCUAGAUAUUUAGCUACUUCCCAUUCUUUUCUAUAUGCAGCUUCGAUCCGUCGAGCCAGCAAAAAGCACACAAGCAUUUUAAUUAUAAUAAUGUAAUAAUUAAGCUUUGGGGCAUAUCACAAUCUUGGACAAGUUGAGCAUCAGAUUCAUCAUUCAUAAAGAAGCUCAUCUUUUGAACUCACAUGAUCCAGUUGCCAAGUUAAACACGAAGAAUCAGCGCGAAAAUGACAAUGUUAUGUCUUAAUUCUUAGUUUAAGAGGCUUGAUGAUUGUAACAACACCUACAUAGGAAAGAAGAAGUGCUUUUAUGUAUAUAUCAAAAUUAUAGUUCGUAACUUUAGUGGUUUUAUUUUUCUUAAUUUUGGAAGAGAUAGACAAGUUGGAAUUGUCUUUUUCAUAUACAAUAUAUUAGGUGUGUUUAGUAAAUGUCAAGUGGAAUGAAGUCGGUGUUCUAUAC